ensembl:lncRNA
UUAAAUUUGAUUUAAAUUCAGAGUUUAAGCAUUACAUCUAAAAUGUAACCGUUUGACUUACAAAGGUUCAAUUACUUAACUACAGACAGUUUGAUGAGAUGAAUAUCCAAAUGGUUGCUUGACUGUGAUUUGUCAUUGUUCAGAUAAUUAACAGCUUGGCUUUUCACACACUAUAUUAACGCCAAAGAUAGUAUGACAUAACAUUAACUAACGCACUUGGAAUGUCGAUUAUUGUAAACAAAUCACUGCGUAAGAAACCUGCAAGCUAGCUAACAACAUUACCUGAAGACCAGCUAACAUAGCAAGUUGGCGUUGAAUGUAAACAUUCCAGAGAGCCAGCCUUGUACGGUCUACUGGCUAGGUAACUACAUAGUUAGUAAGCAGUAGUUCAAACCCCGUUGUCGGCAAUUGUUUAGAAAUGCCGGAUAACAUAACAGAUAUGCAGUCAUCGGUGAUCUCCAACAAGCCAGGACCAUCAAACCCCCGGCAGUGAAGGAUGACUUCUACGCUGCCAUCUCCGCUGCUGCCAGGCGCCUACGCAUUCCAAUGCCCGUGCCGGAGGAGGAUCUCUUUGUGGCCGUGCGAUGAAUGCAGGCUCGCCGUCCGAUGCGAAAUGCGGCGCCGUGGAGAAAGCGUGGGGUCCCCCUUCAUGACCCGGGGUACGGUCAAGUCCCACCUGGCCUUCACCACGGUGGAGGGACGGCUGGAGACUUUGAGUAAGGGCAUACCACCCCUGGAAUCCGCCCUGGCGACUUCCCUGGUCCCGGGCCUGAGCACCUGGAGCGACAAGCGCCCAGCUCUACCCUCCAUGAAGGACCGUGUCUCCGCCAGCCUGGUGGAGAAGCAGUACGCCUUGUCUCUGCAGUCCCUCCUGGUGGGCUGCAACAACGUGGGCCUCCUGGCGGCGGCUGUGGACGGGAUGACCGAGGGUCGCACCUCGUUAUCUCCGGCUGAGGUGAGUGAGGUGGCUAGGGCUUCGGCGGCCAUUCUCAAACUCACCCAGGCUAACUCCCUCUCUGCUGGCCAGGUGAUGGCCUAGUUGGUUGUGCAGGUCAGGCACUUGUGGCUGGCGCUGACGUCCCUGAAGGAGCCCGAGACAAUGUCGUUCCUCAAUGCCCCGCUGCAGGAGGACGCUCUCUUCGGUGCCACAGUCACGGAGGCCCUGGUGCGCUAGAAGAAGGACAGAGAGGAGCGUCUCCGGCUGGGUCCCCUUUUGCCGGUUCCCGCUUUCUCUUCGGUGUCCGCUGGCCCCUCAAGGCUUCAGGUUCACGGAGGCCUGGGGGUCGACUGCGUCGCUGUACACGACAUCGCCGGUUAGAUCUACAUAGCAGAACCCACAGGUCUCUGCAAAGGACCUUCAGAACAGUUUAGCUGACAAUGAAGUUGUUGCUCACAGGUCCACCGCACAAUGUACCUUACACAGCAUGUUCACAUUUGUGUAAUAUGUCGAAUCUAUGGAAAAUGCAUAAAUGGUAAUCCUGUAUAAACUUGUGCAAAAGGGAGGCCUGUUUCACUUCGUAACAUGUGGAGCUCAGAUCAACUGUAUUGUAACUGCAAUAAGCAGCAUUCCCAACCAUCAACCUCCUAAUGAUGUCCCUCUAAUGUAUCACAUAUAACCAAGCAAUGGCUG